rnacentral:snRNA from 1 species
GUAGAUUGAUUGGACUACAUAUCGAUAAAAUCUUUCGCCUUUUACUAAAGAUUUACGUAGGGGAGAGCAUUGAAAUGAGUAUAUCACUCAUUUGUUUUAUUUGCUCUGUAUUUUUGCGGGGCU